rnacentral:rRNA from 1 species
GAUGAACGCUAGCUACAGGCUUAACACAUGCAAGUCGAGGGGAAACGAUAUUGGAAGCUUGCUUCUGAUAGGCGUCGACCGGCGCACGGGUGAGUAACGCGUAUCCAACCUGCCCAUCACUUGGGAUAACCUUGCGAAAGUAAGACUAAUACCCAAUGACGUCUCUAGAAGACAUCUGAAAGAGAUUAAAGAUUUAUCGGUGAUGGAUGGGGAUGCGUCUGAUUAGCUUGUUGGCGGGGUAACGGCCCACCAAGGCGACGAUCAGUAGGGGUUCUGAGAGGAAGGUCCCCCCACAUUGGAACUGAGACACGGUCCAAACUCCUACGGGAGGCAGCAGUGAGGAAUAUUGGUCAAUGGACGAGAGUCUGAACCAGCCAAGUAGCGUGCAGGAUGACGGCCCUAUGGGUUGUAAACUGCUUUUAUAAGGGAUAAAGUGGGAGUCGUGACUCUUUUUGCAUGUACCUUAUGAAUAAGGACCGGCUAAUUCCGUGCCAGCAG